rnacentral:rRNA from 1 species
GAUGAACGCUGGCGGCGUGCCUAAUACAUGCAAGUCGAGCGAACGGACGAGAAGCUUGCUUCUCUGAUGUUAGCGGCGGACGGGUGAGUAACACGUGGAUAACCUACCUAUAAGACUGGGAUAACUUCGGGAAACCGGAGCUAAUACCGGAUAAUAUUUUGAACCGCAUGGUUCAAAAGUGAAAGACGGUCUUGCUGUCACUUAUAGAUGGAUCCGCGCUGCAUUAGCUAGUUGGUAAGGUAACGGCUUACCAAGGCAACGAUGCAUAGCCGACCUGAGAGGGUGAUCGGCCACACUGGAACUGAGACACGGUCCAGACUCCUACGGGAGGCAGCAGUAGGGAAUCUUCCGCAAUGGGCGAAAGCCUGACGGAGCAACGCCGCGUGAGUGAUGAAGGUCUUCGGAUCGUAAAACUCUGUUAUUAGGGAAGAACAUAUGUGUAAGUAACUGUGCACAUCUUGACGGUACCUAAUCAGAAAGCCACGGCUAACUACGUGCCAGCAGCCGCGGUAAUACGUAGGUGGCAAGCGUUAUCCGGAAUUAUUGGGCGUAAAGCGCGCGUAGGCGGUUUUUUAAGUCUGAUGUGAAAGCCCACGGCUCAACCGUGGAGGGUCAUUGGAAACUGGAAAACUUGAGUGCAGAAGAGGAAAGUGGAAUUCCAUGUGUAGCGGUGAAAUGCGCAGAGAUAUGGAGGAACACCAGUGGCGAAGGCGACUUUCUGGUCUGUAACUGACGCUGAUGUGCGAAAGCGUGGGGAUCAAACAGGAUUAGAUACCCUGGUAGUCCACGCCGUAAACGAUGAGUGCUAAGUGUUAGGGGGUUUCCGCCCCUUAGUGCUGCAGCUAACGCAUUAAGCACUCCGCCUGGGGAGUACGACCGCAAGGUUGAAACUCAAAGGAAUUGACGGGGACCCGCACAAGCGGUGGAGCAUGUGGUUUAAUUCGAAGCAACGCGAAGAACCUUACCAAAUCUUGACAUCCUUUGACAACUCUAGAGAUAGAGCUUUCCCCUUCGGGGGACAAAGUGACAGGUGGUGCAUGGUUGUCGUCAGCUCGUGUCGUGAGAUGUUGGGUUAAGUCCCGCAACGAGCGCAACCCUUAAGCUUAGUUGCCAUCAUUAAGUUGGGCACUCUAAGUUGACUGCCGGUGACAAACCGGAGGAAGGUGGGGAUGACGUCAAAUCAUCAUGCCCCUUAUGAUUUGGGCUACACAUGUGCUACAAUGGACAAUACAAAGGGCAGCGAAACCGUGAGGUCAAGCAAAUCCCAUAAAGUUGUUCUCAGUUCGGAUUGUAGUCUGCAACUCGACUACAUGAAGCUGGAAUCGCUAGUAAUCGUAGAUCAGCAUGCUACGGUGAAUACGUUCCCGGGUCU